GAUGAACGCUGGCGGCGUGCCUAAUACAUGCAAGUCGAGCGAACGGACGAGAAGCUUGCUUCUCUGAUGUUAGCGGCGGACGGGUGAGUAACACGUGGAUAACCUACCUAUAAGACUGGGAUAACUUCGGGAAACCGGAGCUAAUACCGGAUGAUAUUUUGAACCGCAUGGUUCAAAAGUGAAAGACGGUCUUGCUGUCACUUAUAGAUGGAUCCGCGCUGCAUUAGCUAGUUGGUAAGGUAACGGCUUACCAAGGAAACGAUGCAUAGCCGACCUGAGAGGGUGAUAGGCCACACUGGAACUGAGACACGGUCCAGACUCCUACGGGAGGCAGCAGUAGGGAAUCUUCCGCAAUGGGCGAAAGCCUGACGGAGCAACGCCGCGUGAGUGAUGAAGGUCUUCGGAUCGUAAAACUCUGUUAUUAGGGAAGAACAUAUGUGUAAGUAACUGUGCACAUCUUGACGGUACCUAAUCAGAAAGCCACGGCUAACUACGUG
rnacentral:rRNA from 1 species